rnacentral:lncRNA from 1 species
AGUUUUGUGGUCUACAUUUACAUUUUAGCCAUUUGSUUUUGUAUUGACACUGGCUUGGGAUAGAGGAAACUCCUGCAAGGAUCAGAUUGCCAAUCAAGAUCCUGACAAAGGAAGGAAACGAUACACCUUCUGAAAAUGUAAGUAAGUUUGGAUUUACUACAACUGCUCUGCCUCACCUGAAGAUUUUCUUGUGUGUGAUGACAGAAAGAGUGGCUUUAUUGACAGACCAAGGACAAGAGGCUGGGAGCAUCUUCUUGGUCUGGACACAGAUGCUGGCCCAGAUGACUGGAAAUGCUCAGACUGCGUGA